UUGGUGUUGAACUAUUUAAACUUUCUACUCCCAUACCCCUUUCAUCCAAGUACCUAUGCAAACCUCUUAAAUUUUGAAAUUGAGCUCGCAUGCACCACUUCUGCUGGCUGCUCAUCCCACACCCGGAUCUGUGUGAAGAAUUUUCCCCUCAUGUUCCAAUUAACCUUUCACCUUUCACCCUUAACCCAUGGCUUCUGGUUGUAGUCCCACCCCAUCUCAGUGGAGAAAGCCAGCUUGCAUUUACCCCAUCUAUAACCCUCAUAAUUGUGGUAUACCUCCAUCAAAUCUCCCCUCAAUCUUCUACAUUCCAAGGAAUAAAGUCCUGACCUGUUUCAGUCUCUCCUUAUAACCCAAGUCCUCCAGACCUGGCAUUUCUCUGAAAUCUCUGAACCCCUUUUACAUCUUUCCUGUAGGUUGAUGACCAAAACUGCACAAUACUCCAGAUUAGGCAUCACCAAUGUCUUGUACAAAGUCAACAUAACAUACCAUCCAGUACUUUGGUUUAUGAAGGACUAUGUGCCAAAAUCUUUCUUUCCGUCCCUAUCGAACUGUGACACCACUUUUAGUGAAACAUAGGCCUGUAUUCCCAGAUCCCUUUCAUCAACAACACUCCUACAUGUCCGACCAGUCACUGUGUAAAACCCACCCUGGUAGGUCCUACCAACAUACAACAUCUCACACUUCUCUGCAUUGAAUUCCAUUUUCCAUUUCUCAAGCCAUAUUUCCACCUGGUCCAGUUCGCACUGCAAGCCAUGAUAGUCUUCUCACAGUCCGCUGAAUCCCCAGUCUCGGUUUCAUCCAAAAAUUUGCUGAUCCCUAACCAGCUUAUCAUCCAGAUUACUGAUAUAGAUGACAAACAACAACAGAUCCAGCACUGAUCUCUGUGGCUCACCACCAGUCACAGGUUCCAGUCAGAGAGGCAACCAUCUGCUACCAUACUGGCUUCUCCCACAGACAGUGUCUCAUCCAAUUUACUGUCUCAUCUUGAAUGCUGAAUGACUGAACCUUCUUGACCAACCUCCCAUAUGAGACUUUGUCAAGUGCCUUGCUAAAGUCCAUGUAGACAACAUCCACUGCCUUGCCCUCAGCCACAUUCCUGAUAACUUCCUCGAGAGACUCUGUAAGACUGGUUAGACAUGACCCACCAUGCACAAAACCAUGCUGUCUAUCCUUAAUCAGUCCACAUCUAUCCAAAUACUUAUAUAUCCGGUUCCUGCACAUAUGUUCUAAUAACUUUCCCACUACUGAUGUCACGCUCACUAACGUAACAUUUUCUCAUUUAUCCUUAGACCCCCUCUCGAACAGUGGAACAACAUUGUCUGUCCUCCAAUCCUCCAGUGCCUCACCUGUCACUAAGAAUUAUUUCAAUAUCUUUGCUUGGACCCCGACAAUUUCUGCACUUGUGUUCCGCAGGGUCCUUGGGAACAACUAGUCAGGCUCUGGGGAUUUAUCCAUGCUAAUUUGCCUUAAGACAGCAAACACCUCCACCUCUGUAAUCUGUCCAUGCUCUCUGAAUUUGAUGCUGCCUUGCCUCACCUCUAUCGACUCUGUGUCCAUCUCCUGAGUAAAUACGGAUGCAAAACUACUAUUUCAAACCACCCCUAUCUAUUUUUUCUCCCAUAUAGAUUACCAUUCUGAUCGUCCAGAGUGGGCAUGUUUCUGUUCUGACCUUCUCCAUGUUUCUGUGACAGAGAAGCUGGCCAAACCUGACUGGAAGGGGAGUCUGGUAGGAAUGACGAUGGAGCAGCAAUGGCUGGAGUUUCUGGGAGCAACUCGGGAGGUUAAAACAGGUCCAUUUCAUGAAAUAUAAACCAAGAAAUAAAAAGAAACUGGAAUUACCAGAAAGACUCUGCAGGUAUUUGUGUAAUUCCUUCUCGCUCGACCCGUUGUCCUAGGAAGCUGAGAAAUAGCUGCACACAAAUGCAAGCAUUUUCCCGCUCUUUCCAAUUUGUACCGUUGGAUACCAGGAAGCAGUUAUAUUAAGCAAGGUAUGAACAUAGAAACUCUAGUUUAAAAGUUGAAAACAAUGAAAGAAAAAUUCACUGCUCGCUCAUCUUCGUCCUGAUUCUGAUAAAAUUCACAAGCUAAUCAUCCAAAAUCCUCUUCUACACCUGGAUAAAUUUAGUUUUGUUUUACAAGCUAAAUGGAAAAAAAGCAUUUCUGGGCUAUAAGCUAGUUUUACGUCAUUUCAACUAUCAUUAAUAGCGGAUCAACCCCUUGGCCUCGCUCCACCAACU